rnacentral:rRNA from 1 species
AACGUCCCAGUUCGGACUGUAGUCUGNAACCCGACUACACGAAGCUGGAAUCGCUAGUAAUCGCGAAUCAGAAUGUCGCGGUGAAUACGUUCCCAGGUCUUGUACACACCGCCCGUCACACCAUGGGAGUCGGAAUGCCCGAAGUCAGUGACCCAACCUAUAGGAGGGAGCUGCCGAAGGCAGGUCUGAUAACUGGGGUGAAGUCGUAACAAGGUAUC